AAUUUUCAAAACAAAUCAAAAAAAUGCAAAAAAAAAAUCGAAAAUUUAAAAUUUAAAUAAAAAAGGUGACGCACGUGCUGCAC
rnacentral:rRNA from 14 species